rnacentral:rRNA from 1 species
CGGGUGAGUAAUACAUCGGAACGUGUCUUCUAGUGGGGGAUAACUGCCCGAAAGGGCAGCUAAUACCGCAUGAGACCUGAGGGUGAAAGCGGGGGAUCGCAAGACCUCGCGCUGGAAGAGCGGCCGAUGUCCGAUUAGCUAGUUGGUGAGGUAAAGGCUCACCAAGGCGACGAUCGGUAGCUGGUCUGAGAGGACGACCAGCCGCACUGGGACUGAGACACGGCCCAG